rnacentral:lncRNA from 12 species
AUUGAAAACAACUGGACAAAUAAUCCAGUGAGUUUUAAACAAUCUAAAUCUAAACAGCAAUUAUGGAUGGAAGGAGUAGUCCAGGGAAAACCCAACAAAGGGAACCUGAAGUAGAGAAGGAACUGCAACAGGAACCAACAUUUAGAGCAUACUGAAUCUAUUCUGCUUCUAUUCAACUAAAUGGAACAUUCCAAGGAUUCAAUGGAUGGGACCUUUCUUCUCAGUCAUCCCCAUGAUAACAGCAUAAAGUCACUGAGCUCCACGGGAUUAGGAAGCUCACCAUUGAUUAUUCUCGCUGGCCAGGCAAAGCCUGGACUUUAGGAGCCGGCUAUGGAAAAGUGAGCAAAUAUGGAGAUGGAAACUCUGGGAGAAAUCCAGGGCUCCCCCUCCACCAAACAUCACCCUCUGCUCCCUGAUUCCCAAGACCAAGAAGUGAUUGUGUCCAGCUCAUCUUUGGAGCCCAGGCCAUGUUACAAGUCGGGCAAGUCUAUGGAUCCACUGAAAAAGUAAUAAACUAAUAUUCACCUUAUAGAACUAUUUUAGGGAUUUAAACAAAGCAAACUGUGUAAAUGUACCUAGCAUACGUUGGGCAUACAGACACUUAAAAUGUUCUUUUGAUACCCCUUAUCUUCCUUCAAUAGUCAGCCAAAUUAAAUUUUAAGUCUUUGAAUUUUCCUCAGUACAUAAUUUCUAGUUUCUGGAUAUUUAGUGAUGUUAAUAACUGCCUUUCUCUCCUGUAUCCCUUUCUGGGUGAAAUUGCUCAUCUAAAAUCCCAUGACACCUGCCCUCCCUGUUUUCAUAGGUGUUCAGAGCACAAUCAGUACCUGUUCCUUUUAUGGGUAAGGAAAUUUAGGCACAGAGAGGUUAAAUGAACUUUCCCAUGCAGUCAGUAAGUGGCAGAGCUGGGAUCCAACCAAG